GCAAGGGACGGCGCAGGGGGCGCGGGAAGUGGUAGGGUGGGAGCGUUGUCCGGAAGUAGUGGGCGUAAGGGGCUCGGAGGCGGUUUGUCACGUUGUGAGUGAAAACUCGGGGCCCAACCCCGGGCCUGCUGCCGAUACGGGCAGACUAGAGGUAUGCAGGGGAGAACGGAAUUCCUGGUGUAGCGGUGAAAUGCGCAGAUAUCAGGAGGAACACCGGUGGCGAAGGCGGUUCUCUGGGCAUUACCUGACGCUGAGGAGCGAAAGUGUGGGGAGCGAACAGGAUUAGAUACCCGGGUAGUC
rnacentral:rRNA from 1 species